rnacentral:tRNA from 1 species
GGUUCGAUAGCUCAGCCUGGUAGACGAAAUGGUCUGUCGCGGGUUCGACUCCCGCUCGAACGU